rnacentral:snoRNA from 1 species
AGUUCAUUCUAUAUAGGGCUUGUUAGGCUGUGAAAUCAGGAGCUCUUAACAGUGUGACCAAAGUUUGGAGUUCUUCAAAGCACCAUGUAGUCACUCAAUAGUGAUGGAUUUUUUUUUUAAAUUUUCGUGAGGAGGAGAUAUAACA